GGAGUCCCAUCAGGAAAAAGCCUAACCAGCAGUCCUGUAGCUAGUUCUUGGAGGUUAUUCGGUAACGAAUAACUUUAAGCGUAGAACGGCAAAAUAGCGGGCCGAAAGCGAAAGCU
rfam:Paenibacillus popilliae ATCC 14706 DNA, contig: contig349.